UAUCUCGCCAACUUUGAUCGACUUCAAAAUCAGAACCGAAAAUCACUUCCGUUCAUUUUUCCUUUUCCUUUUCUUGUUUUGGAAGCCAAAAUCACUUCGAAAAAGAUUCUUCAAUUCCCCAUUAAUGGCGAACGAUAAUCAUAGCUUGCCAUGAAAACGAUUUGGUAUUAGUGGACGUCUAUCAUGUGUUUUCUGAAAAUUUCUCGCCCAGCUUUGAUGAACAAUGGCGAAUUGGUUUUUAGACAAAAUUGAAUUCAUGAUUGCUGUUCCCAAUGGAGUUAAAUUACUACUGUAAUCGAAUUCGAGAAAGUUGGGGAACAAUCGUGUUGUUGGUGCUGCAAUAUAGGUACUCUAGAACUAGGCUUGCUUUAUUAUCCUUAGCAUGCCGGAUCAUGUCCGCCAUGGAAGCUACACAAACGAACUAUGUGACCUUUAUAUCCUUGCAAUGUCCCAUAUCUGGUGGAUGUUUCCCGGCAUCUCGUCAAGGGAGUCUAAUUCUUCGUGAAUGGGAGUUGAAAAGCGAACAGCAUUAUAGUUUGCGAUCGAGGAACAUCCACUGUGAGAUGAGAUGACUGGUCGUUUCAUUACUGUAUCAUCUUCGUCGAGGAAAUGGAAUUUGAUUGGUUAUGUAGAAUCUUGCAUUGGUGGUCCAUGUUGUAAAGUAAGCGCGCCACUACUGUUGCACGCUAGGUGUUUGAUGUAAUGUCUCUGCAUAAUUUGGUUACCCCCUGCAUAGUUUUUUUCUUUCUUUUUUUCCUACUUUUUCUAAUACGAAAAGUCUUAGCUAAUCAUUUCUAGGUAUAAGAUUGAAUUAUAUCUAGACUGGUCGGACGGUAAUCUGUAUCGAUCAUAUGUUCAGAUUUCAUACAUUGUCUGAAUUGCAAUACUCUUGUAGAGCCAAUAUUGUAAUUUGUAUCUAGUCUGUAUCAUCAAAUGUAUCGGUUCUAUAUGAUACAAUUGCUUAGAUCCUUGUUUGUUUUCUAGGUCACGUUUUUUUAAAAUUUGGUUUUUUGUAUUUUGUUUUUGAAAAUUAAAACUACAAAUAUCCUUCCACUCCUAAAUUUCUUGAUUUGUGAUCUAUUUUUUACCCAUGUGUUCAAUAAUCAAGUGAAAUUUGAAAUUCAAAAUGGUAGUUCUUAAAAACUUGUUUUUUGUUUUUGGAAUUUACCUAAGAAUUCAAAGAUGCAAACUAUAAUAUGAAAAUGAGAGGAAAUAGGAUAAUUUUUAAAAAGUAAAAAUGAAAAAUGUAAUCGCUAUCGAUUGUCAAAAUUUAUACUUGUUCCCUACUAAUUUUCAUAAUUUAAUUUUUCUUUCUAAAAAUUAGUAGAAGGUAGCUAACUAAAUUAUAAACUUUUAGGGUUGCAGUAUUUAUCAGCUUAAUUUUCAAGAAACAACAAACAAAACCAAAAUAUUAUGGAAUUGAGUCUUAAAAAUUCAAGCACUAAGAGUCAAAAUCAGAUCUAACUUUUACUUUUUGUUACAUAACAUCUUUAUCUUAACCACCGCCCAUUUGCACCCCACGGGGAGGUAAGCUGAUUAGCAAAACUUUUUGAAUUCUGUUUGUAUCCUAAUUGAUAAGAGAAAUCAGCGUUUUAGUCCUUUAAUGAUGAAAAGUAACUGUUAGUCAAGCUUGCUUUCUGUUGGCUGAAAUGUUGGACUAAAACUCCGUUGGCUAAGGUUCAUUCCCUGGAAAUUAGUUGAAGGGUCAGCAAUCAGAGGACAAAAAAGGGAAGUGAUCUUGCACGACAUUUCAUUAAAUUAAGUCUAAAGAGUCUGCAGAAGCAUAAAGCCACGCUGUUCUCUAAUUGUUUAACAUUAUUUUGCUGCCUUUCUUGCACACAGGGAAGGAGUCUGGAUUCAACUUUUGAUUACUUCUUCCCGUUUGAGUUUGAAACAAGAAGAACGCCGUACCCCAAGAAAUGGAUGACAGGUGCUGCUUGGGAAUAAUGAUACGGGAAACUGUUUUAGACUUUUCAAAACAAUAUUUUACUGUUUUCUACAGUAAACCAGGUGAUUCUUUCAGAAAUUCAGGACCUUCCUCACGUAUGGCUGUGUGGAUUGCAUGUGCAAAGUUGUUAUUGGUGUUUUUGCCUACCAAGUCUUCGGCUUUGAUUGACUCCAUUUCCCAAUCUGUAUUGAAGACCACUAUUAAGAUUGAGACCACACAUGCCAUCUGAGCUGCCAGAAGCCCG